AUUAAUCUUCAGGGCAGGGUGAAAUUCCCUACCGGCGGUAAAGCCCGCGAGCUAUGCAAAUGGCAGAUUCGGUUAGAUUCCGAAGCCGACAGUAAAGUCUGGAUGAAAGAAGAUGUUA
rnacentral:ncRNA from 1 species